rnacentral:rRNA from 1 species
UGGGGAAUUUUGGACAAUGGGGGAAACCCUGAUCCAGCCAUCCCGCGUGUGCGAUGAAGGCCUUCGGGUUGUAAAGCACUUUUGGCAGGAAAGAAACGUCAUGGGUUAAUACCCCGUGAAACUGACGGUACCUGCAGAAUAAGCACAGGCUAACUACGUGCCAGCAGCCGCGGGAAUACGUAGGGUGCAAGCGUUAAUCGGAAUUACUGGGCGUAAAGCGUGCGCAGGCGGUUCGGAAAGAAAGAUGUGAAAUCCCAGAGCUCAACUUUGGAACUGCAUUUUUAACUACCGGGCUAGAGUGUGUCAGAGGGAGGUGGAAUUCCGCGUGUAGCAGUGAAAUGCGUAGAUAUGCGGAGGAACACCGAUGGCGAAGGCAGCCUCCUGGGAUAACACUGACGCUCAUGCACGAAAGCGUGGGGAUCAAACAGG